rnacentral:rRNA from 1 species
UACGUAGGGGGCAAGCGUUGUCCGGAAUCAUUGGGCGUAAAGAGCGCGUAGGCGGCCCUGUAAGUCCGCUGUGAAAGUCAAGGGCUCAACCCUUGGAUGCCGGUGGAUACUGCAGGGCUAGAGUCCGGAAGAGGCGAGUGGAAUUCCUGGUGUAGCGGUGAAAUGCGUAGAUAUCUGGAGGAACACCGGUGGCGAAGGCGGCGUUCUGGACUGCAACUGACACUGAGGAACGAAAGCCAGGGGAGCAAACGGG